rnacentral:misc_RNA from 1 species
GAUGAAGAACGCAGCGAAAUGCGAAAAGUAAUGUGAAUUGCAGAAUUCAGUGAACCAUCGAAUCUUUGAACGCACAUUGCGCCCGCUGGAACUCCGGCGGGCACGCCUGUCUGAGCGUCAUUUCAACCCUCAGGCCCCCCUUCGCGGGCGGGCCUGGUGUUGGGGCCCGGCCGCUACCCUGCGGCCGUCCCCUAAAUUCAGUGGUGGCCUCGCCGUGAUCCCUUGCGUAGUAAUGCACCUCGCACCGGAGAGCGCCGUGGCCACGCCGUAAAACCCCCAAUUUUCAAUGGUUGACCUCGGAUCAGGUGGGAAUACCCGCUGAACUUAAGCAUAUCAAUAAGCGGAGGA